AAAUUGAAGAGUUUGAUCAUGGCUCAGAUUGAACGCUGGCGGCAGGCCUAACACAUGCAAGUCGAGCGGUAGCACAGAGAGCUUGCUCUCGGGUGACGAGCGGCGGACGGGUGAGUAAUGUCUGGGAAACUGCCUGAUGGAGGGGGAUAACUACUGGAAACGGUAGCUAAUACCGCAUAACGUCGCAAGACCAAAGUGGGGGACCUUCGGGCCUCAUGCCAUCAGAUGUGCCCAGAUGGGAUUAGCUAGUAGGUGGGGUAACGGCUCACCUAGGCGACGAUCCCUAGCUGGUCUGAGAGGAUGACCAGCCACACUGGAACUGAGACACGGUCCAGACUCCUACGGGAGGCAGCAGUGGGGAAUAUUGCACAAUGGGCGCAAGCCUGAUGCAGCCAUGCCGCGUGUGUGAAGAAGGCCUUCGGGUUGUAAAGCACUUUCAGCGGGGAGGAAGGCGUUAAGGUUAAUAACCUUGGCGAUUGACGUUACCCGCAGAAGAAGCACCGGCUAACUCCGUGCCAGCAGCCGCGGUAAUACGGAGGGUGCAAGCGUUAAUCGGAAUUACUGGGCGUAAAGCGCACGCAGGCGGUCUGUCAAGUCGGAUGUGAAAUCCCCGGGCUCAACCUGGGAACUGCAUUCGAAACUGGCAGGCUAGAGUCUUGUAGAGGGGGGUAGAAUUCCAGGUGUAGCGGUGAAAUGCGUAGAGAUCUGGAGGAAUACCGGUGGCGAAGGCGGCCCCCUGGACAAAGACUGACGCUCAGGUGCGAAAGCGUGGGGAGCAAACAGGAUUAGAUACCCUGGUAGUCCACGCCGUAAACGAUGUCGAUUUGGAGGUUGUGCCCUUGAGGCGUGGCUUCCGGAGCUAACGCGUUAAAUCGACCGCCUGGGGAGUACGGCCGCAAGGUUAAAACUCAAAUGAAUUGACGGGGGCCCGCACAAGCGGUGGAGCAUGUGGUUUAAUUCGAUGCAACGCGAAGAACCUUACCUGGUCUUGACAUCCACAGAACUUUCCAGAGAUGGAUUGGUGCCUUCGGGAACUGUGAGACAGGUGCUGCAUGGCUGUCGUCAGCUCGUGUUGUGAAAUGUUGGGUUAAGUCCCGCAACGAGCGCAACCCUUAUCCUUUGUUGCCAGCGGUUCGGCCGGGAACUCAAAGGAGACUGCCAGUGAUAAACUGGAGGAAGGUGGGGAUGACGUCAAGUCAUCAUGGCCCUUACGACCAGGGCUACACACGUGCUACAAUGGCAUAUACAAAGAGAAGCGACCUCGCGAGAGCAAGCGGACCUCAUAAAGUAUGUCGUAGUCGGAUUGGAGUCUGCAACUCGACUCCAUGAAGUCGGAAUCGCUAGUAAUCGUAGAUCAGAAUGCUACGGUGAAUACGUUCCCGGGCCUUGUACACACCGCCCGUCACACCAUGGGAGUGGGUUGCAAAAGAAGUAGGUAGCUUAACCUUCGGGAGGGCGCUUACCACUUUGUGAUUCAUGACUGGGGUGAAGUCGUAACAAGGUAACCGUAGGGGAACCUGCGGUUGGAUCACCUCCUUACCUUAAAGAA
rnacentral:rRNA from 1 species